rnacentral:tRNA from 1 species
GGAGUUGUGCCUGAGUGUUAAAGGGCCACUUUGAUAGAGUGAACCACGGAGGCUAAAACCCUCCCAACUCCU